rnacentral:misc_RNA from 1 species
GGUUCAAAUAAGGGCUAUUAAUAUUGCCAAUGGGAAGAAUUUACCUGAAGUUCCUACUUUGAUGUUUGAAUUCGUAGGCACGGAGGCAUAUGCACGUGAGCAAACACUAAUAGUUCAGGAGAUCAUUUCUAGGCACAAUGGCUCAGAUUUUGUUUUUGCAGAACAGCCUGAAGCUAAAAAGGAACUUUGGAAGAUAAGAAAAGAGGCUCUGUGGGCUUGCUUUGCAAUGGAACCAAAUUAUGAGGCAAUGAUUUCGGAUGUCUGUGUUCCUUUAUCACGCCUGGCAGAAUUGAUAUCUAAGUCUAAAAAAGAGCUGGAUGCAUCCCCACUGGUUUGCACAGUUAUUGCUCAUGCCGGUGAUGGGAACUUUCACACUGUGAUUCUUUUUGAUCCUAACCAAGAAAAGCAGAGGCAAGAAGCUGAAAGAUUGAACCAGUUUAUGGUCCAUGCUGCUCUGUCAAUGGAAGGAACAUGUACCGGUGAACAUGGUGUCGGCACAGGAAAAAUGAAGUAUCUCGAGAAGGAACUUGGAGUGGAGGCCUUGCAGACGAUGAAAAGAAUUAAAACAGCUUUAGAUCCAAACAAUAUCAUGAACCCAGGAAAGCUCAUUCCACCCCAUGUUUGCUUCUAAGAGCGUGUUUGGUGUACUUGGAGGGGAGGAUUCCUCAUUGGCAUGCGCUUUCUAUGCAAGUACUGUUGUAGGGGUACAAAGGUAUGUUCCCUUGCCAUUUAUACCAUUUAGAAUAGUUGGCCAGACUUGCAGAAUUUAUAUACAUGAGGUUGAAAUAGGCCAUAUACCGGUCAAUGUGUCGUCAAAUUGUACAAUUUUCUUUGUGUUGAGAGUUGAGACACCCAAACAAUAAAUUGGUUCUUGCUUGUGUAUGUUUUCUUUCACAUCGAAUAUGGAUGUGAUUUGUCCACC